GCUCAGAACGAACGCUGGCGGCAUGCUAACACAUGCAAGUCGAGCGAUCCUUCGGGAUAGCGGCGGACGGGUGAGUAACGCGUGGGAACGUGCCCGAUGGUGCGGGAUAGCCUCUGGAAACGGAGAUUAUACCGCAUGUACCCUGCGGGGGAAAGAUUAUCGCCAUCGGAUCGGCCCGCGUUGGAUUAGGUAGUUGGUGGGGUAACGGCCUACCAAGCCGACGAUCCAUAGCUGGUUUGAGAGGAUGAUCAGCCACACUGGGACUGAGACACGGCCCAGACUCCUACGGGAGGCAGCAGUGGGGAAUCAUAGACAAUGGGGGAAACCCUGAUCUUGCCAUGCCGCGUGAGCGAUGAAGGCCCUAGGGUUGUAAAGCUCUUUCGCCAGGGAAGAUAAUGACGGUACCUGGUAAAGAAACCCCGGCUAACUCCGUGCCAGCAGCCGCGGUAAUACGGAGGGGGUUAGCGUUGUUCGGAAUUACUGGGCGUAAAGCGCACGUAGGCGGACUGGAAAGUUGGGGGUGAAAUCCCGGGGCUCAACCCCGGAACUGCCUUCAAAACUGUCAGUCUGGAGUCCGAGAGAGGUGAGUGGAACUCCGAGUGUAGAGGUGAAAUUCGUAGAUAUUCGGAAGAACACCAGUGGCGAAGGCGGCUCACUGGCUCGGUACUGACGCUGAGGUGCGAAAGUGUGGGGGGCAAACAGGAUUAGAUACCCUGGUAGUCCACACCGUAAACGAUGAAUGCCAGACGUCGGGCAGCAUGCUGUUCGGUGUCACACCUAACGGAUUAAGCAUUCCGCCUGGGGAGUACGGCCGCAAUGUUAAAACUCAAAGGAAUUGACGGUGGCCCGCACAAGCGGUGGAGCAUGU
rnacentral:rRNA from 1 species